rnacentral:ncRNA from 3 species
UGUAUCGAAAUACCUAAAGCUCGUAUAAUCUUGGAAAUAGGGUCCAAGAGUUUCUACCGAACUACCGUAAAUAGUUGGACUACGAGGGGUGAACAUCAUUCA